UACAGAGGGUGCGAGCGUUAUCCGGAUUUACUGGGCGUAAAGCGCAUGCAGGCGGAAGCCAAAGUCGGACGUGAAAGCUCCUGGCUCAACUAGGAGAGGCCGUUCGAAACUAGGCAUCUGGAGGCUGGUAGAGGAGAGUGGAAUUCCCGGUGUAGUGGUGAAAUGCGUAGAUAUCGGGAGGAACACCAGUGGCGAAAGCGGCUCUCUGGGCCAGUCCUGACGCUCAGAUGCGAAAGCUAGGGGAGAGAACGGG
rnacentral:misc_RNA from 1 species